AUUAUUUCACCUUCAGUGUGUUUGAUUGAAUUUUUCCGGUGUCACGACAUUAACUGCUUCUUGCCACAUAUUUAAACAAUCAACCUCUGUUCUCCCAUCUCUAACAAUACCUCUAUGUUUAUUAUAAGUGCUAUCCAAAUUCUUCGUCAUCGUAAUAAAUAACACUUCACAGUACGACAAAAAGUUGUUCUGAAAAGAACAGUUUGGUUUGUGGAAUUGAGAAGCUUGAUAAAAAGGCACGAAACUACGAUAAACUAGACGUUUCGAAACACACGCAAGGUGACAGAAUGGGUGACAGAUAGCAACAUACCCUUAAAUGCAUAGUACAGAGUCGCGCCAACGUCGCAUUUCUGUACCAACCGUAUAAUUUCAAAUAAACUGUUUUUAAAUUAUAACAACACAUCCCAUUUAAAUAUUUAGGUUGGUAUGUGAAAUUAUUCCAGUAAUGACGUGCAACGGAAUAUAAUAUAUAAUAUGGAAUAGAGUGUAUUCCGCACGAGUGGAAAGUUCGUCACACGAGCCGAAGGCGAGUGUGACGGUUCCACGAGCGUUGAAUACCUAUUCCUUACAAGUAAUAGACAUAAUUUUUUCUACUACUACGACGAAUUUUUGCAAAAUAUGUAUAAAACAAGCAGGGUUAACGAUAGACAAUUCACACAUUAGUAGGUACGUCUAUGUACGGUGGGUUGGUAUAGCAGAUCCCUGUGGCAUAUUUGACAGAUUCUAAAUGGCUGUAUAAACAAUUUUCUCGACAAUUUCUCUUCGCUCAUUAUUAUCCCAGAAAAGGGAUACUAACUUUUCUGUGAUAUUAAUUACAAAUGUGCACAUUUGUUGAAUGUGUCCUGUCCUGCGCAGUGUAUGAAUCGGCGUGGAUCAUUUAGAUUUAGAUAAACGUAAACGAUAAACGUAUUCGAUGUGUGCGACCGGUAUGUAAUUCAUGAUGUGCAUUCAAAUACAAAAUGCUACAAAGAGGACGUUAUGGAUGCAAAUCAGAAAUAAACUCGAAAAAGUUGUAUGUUAGUUUUAAAACUUCCUGGAGGAAAUGUGUUCUGGAUGACCAACAAUGUUAACUGUUUGGAUCUGGAUGUUCUUUUUGUAUAGUGCAGUGAGGUAUACCAACGUGGGUCCCCCGUAAUUGUAAACUUUCAUUGUACGUUAGUUUUACGUAUUGGGUAUUCUAAUUACAGUUCUACAGUUCCACCUAAGUCUUGUAUGUGGUCGAUUUUUAUGUUCCACGAACACGAUUCGUGCUUACGACAAGCACCACUAAUGCCAACUAUAAGAGCAACCUUUAAAUGUAAAAUAGAUAUGAUGUAACGAGUAACGAUUUGAAUGUGUAAUGUUAUAGUAGAUAUAAACUGUCGAGGGGGCUUUUUGAAUAAACAUUUUUACUUUG